AUUCUUCAAUUUCUUUCCUUUUUUUUCUUUCUUAUCCUUCUCUUCCCUCGUUUAUUUCACACUCCAUUCUAAGAAUCUCAUCAAUUAUUUUUGUUACUUGUAUACUUUACUUUUUGGGUUGCAGAAAUAAAGAUAAAUAACAUAAUACAAUAAAAACAAAAAUGCAAGUGUAUGAAUGUAAUCAUUAAUUUUACUUACGAAUGAGAUAAGACCAAAAAACAACUGUUUAAAAGCUUCCUACUUUCGAACCCUUCGUCAUCACUUCUCUUCCGUUUUCUUUUGUUCGUUUCACUUUUGUGUUUCGAAACCCAAAAGAAACUAACCGCAGAGCAGCGUGUACGCGGCACUCAGAGAUGCCAAGCAAGGGGAAGGAUUCUCCAUCGUUGGGAGAAGUAAAGGUUCCAUUGUUAGAAGCUCACCCUUUAACGGAUGAAGAAGAACAGAAUGAAGACAUUGCACGAAAAAUUUGGGUUGAAUCAAAGAAACUCUGGCACAUUGUGGGCCCCGCAAUCUUCAGCCGUAUAGCAUCCUAUUCCAUGUUAGUCAUCACACAAGCCUUCGCGGGCCACCUCGGUGAUCUCGAACUCGCUGCCAUCUCCAUUGCCAAUAAUGUUAUCGUGGGAUUCGACUUUGGCCUCUUGUUGGGCAUGGCAAGCGCUUUGGAAACGCUGUGUGGGCAAGCAUAUGGGGCGAAGAAGUACUACAUGUUGGGUGUGUACAUGCAGCGUUCGUGGAUCGUUCUUUUCAUUUGCUGUGUUUUGCUUUUACCUAUUUAUCUAUUUGCAACGCCGGUGUUGAAGGUGUUGGGGCAGCCUGAGGAGUUGGCAGAGCUAUCUGGGGAGGUGGCAAUGUGGUUGAUACCGCUUCACUUUGCUUUUGCGUUUCAGUUUCCUUUGAAUAGGUUUUUGCAGAGCCAGUUGAAGACUUUGUCUAUUGCGUGGGUGUCACUGCUGGCACUGUUGGUGCAUGUGUUUGUGAGUUGGUUGUUUGUGUUUAAGCUUCAGUUUGGGGUUAUCGGUACUGCUGCUACCACUAACUUCUCUUGGUGGGUUCUGACUCUGGGCCUUUUUGGUUAUUCUGUUUGGGGUGGUUGUCCUCACACUUGGACUGGUUUUUCCGUUGAAGCAUUUUCUGGGCUUUGGGAGUUUGUCAAACUCUCUGCUGCUUCUGGGGUCAUGCUUUGCUUGGAGAACUGGUAUUACAGAAUUCUCAUAUUAAUGACUGGGAAUCUUCAGAACGCAGAGAUUGCCGUCGACGCUUUAUCCAUAUGUAUGACUAUAAAUGGUUUAGAAAUGAUGAUUCCUCUGGCAUUCUUUGCUGCAACUGGAGUGAGGGUUGCAAACGAGCUUGGAGCUGGGAACGGAAAAGGAGCCAAGUUUGCUACUACGGUAUCUGUGGUGACAUCGGUUAUAAUAGGACUCUUCUUCUGGAUGUUGAUUUUGAUAUUGCACGAUAAAUUCGGCUACAUUUUCUCUAAUAGCAAAGCCGUCCUUGACGAAGUAAACAAUCUUUCUCUUCUAUUAGCCUUCACAAUUCUGCUCAACAGUGUUCAGCCAGUUCUCUCAGGGGUGGCUGUAGGAUCGGGGUGGCAAUCAUAUGUUGCAUACAUAAAUUUGGGUUGCUACUAUAUUAUUGGGGUGCCUCUUGGAUUUGCGAUGGGCUGGGUCUUCAAUCAAGGACUUAUGGGAAUCUGGGCGGGGAUGAUUUUCGGUGGGACAGCGACUCAAACAUUAAUAUUGGGCUUGAUUACAAUUCGGUGUGACUGGGACAGAGAGGCUGAGAAAGCAAAAUUGCAUCUAACGAAGUGGGGAGAUCCAAAACGUGAACUGAACUAGAGCUUCUUUAAGAUAUAAGAAAUCUGAAUUGAAGGGCUGCUUUCUUCGUAACAUAAUUGCCAAAGGGAUUGGCAUAUUAAAUUGGUGGAAACUAUAUAAUUACGAAGAGAGCGUAUUUCAGCAUUAUUUAAAUUCAAUCAUUAAGGCCCAGUCCAUGAACUUCUUGGACUGAUCAAGUGGCCCAUAAUUUCUCCAAUAUCUACUCUUCUUCUCCACUGUUUUAUCUUUCCAUGCUACUGAUUCUACUUUUGAUUCUGGGGUUUUAUGUCUUUGCGAUAUUUUUGUUCUGUCUUCGUUCUUGCGUGCCUCUGCAAAAUCAAAACAGUAAAGCCAUUGUGAUUUAUUCAGGGCAGCAAACUAAAGACUUGACAGGAAUAAAAAGACAUUUUUGUCUAAACAUAAGCAAUGCUACCAGACAAAAGACGAACACACACAGCACGGGAGUCUGGGCUGGGUUAAUUUUUGGUGGACCGUCAAUUCAGACUUUGAUAAUUGCUUGGGUUUAGUGUUCGAUGUGACUCGGACAGAGAGGUAAAUAAAAGAUUCUCUGCAACAAAUUUCACUUUUAUUGAUAUAUUUGCAUUUGCACAUAGCUAGAUAAUUUAAUACAUUUUGUUGGUUCAUACCCAAAUCAAAAUUUGAUCAAGUAGCACUUCUUUUUCAUGCAAUUGACCUAAAACCAAUUGAACUAGAGUUAGCUUAUGAUCAUUCUCAAAUCUCCUUCUUUAUGUGAUAAUUUAAAACCCCACAUUAAUUAAAGGAAAUCGCGAGUCGUUUAUUUUUUUGUAAGAAAAUCGCGGGUUAUGUCUAUUGUGGCUUUGGACUUUGGCCCCCAAACAGCCUUUUUAUUGGUGCUCCCUUUUUGUUGGGCUGGCAAGGGUACAAAUGAUGGCCUGUUAGAGCUACUUAAAUUGCUUGUCGAAUUUUAAUUCUUCACUCAAUUCAGACCAAAAAAACUUCACUCAAUCAAGUUAAAAUGGAACAAAAUCAAUGUUUUAAGAAUUAAGAUAAACUGAUUCAAUUAUAAACUGAUUAUAUUUUAAUUUAAAAACUAUUUAAUUCAAUGCUUGAGUAUUUAAUUAGUCUAAUCAUUGGUUUAGUUUUUAUAAAAGCCGCAAACAUGAACCAAAAUUUAAAUCAUAGCACAAAACAUAUUCCAAAUCAUUUCGAAUUCAAGGGCUAUUGGAAAUGCAUGGCCGCUUUAGGGUACUGAGGAUUUGAGAUUUGAAGAAAAGAUGUUGUCCCGAAGUAUAUAAACAAAGGUUUGGAGUAGGAUCAUGUCAAAUUUCCCAAAACAGUUAUAAGCCACCUUGAAAUGUAUAAAUCCUUUUAAGAAUUCCAACAUUUUCCAAUUCUUUUCCAGAAACACGGGGACACAACCAUAGAAGAAAACAAAAACAAGCUACCUUAAACUGUGUAACAUAUUGAAGCUAUAUCCAUAUGUCAUUUUCUAGAAACGUAGGAGGCAUAAAGAAGUAUCCUUCUUCCAAAAGAAAUUGAUUUCAAAGAGAAAUUAGGAUCCGUCAUUCUAUCCGUCUCUAUCAAUGAACAACACAGGAAAUUAAUCAUCACGAGUAUCGUUUGAAACGCCACCUGUUGCUCCCACUCUAAUGGGUAACUGAUGUGCAUUACUUUUUCCAUUUGGUUUUAUAGUCUACAUAAAAUUGCUUCUACAAUGGAUAGCUAUAUUAAAAAAGAAAAGUAGGUGUUCUUUUACCUUAUU